GACCAGGUGGCUCAGUUGGUUAGAGCAUUGUCCUGAUACACCAAGGUUGAGGGUUCGAUCCCUGGUCA
rnacentral:tRNA from 1 species